UUUUUCAUGAGUUUAAGGCAAAUGCUCUGCAGAAACUAUGAAGUUUGCUUCUCUGAGGACAUGUAAAGAGUAUCAUUUGGCUCUGAGGAGAUGGAAGAUUCCAUGUGCAGGAAAAGAAAACACCUGUGAAACAAGCAAGUUCUGAAGCGAAGCUGCAGAAACCUCAGUGCCUCUGGUUCCCCUGCCUCACCUGGCGAAGGUCCGGGCAGGCAGGGGAGCGGGGAGAGGCAGUGCGUCACGGCUGAGGGAGCCCGUGAGGGUAACAUGGUGAGUAGCAGCACGCUACGCACCUGUGGAAAGGAGAGAAAGGAGAACCAGCUGAAAAAAGGGAGACUGUGCGAUGCCGUGAGAAGACCCAAGGAUGCCUCCAUAAGCCUCAUCAGCCUAUUUUGGAGAAGUACUGGAUUCGCCAGCAUUUCCUGAGAGCUGAAAGAAAUCAAGGAAAAAGACGUUGGAGAAAGAGGCAGAAGAACAACACUUUACAUUUUUGAGCAAAUUCUUGCCUCUCUCCCAUAAACCAUCCUCCUCUGGGGACAUCUGAUGUGAUCCAGAAAGAGUGGAUUUUGUUAAAACUAAGGGAAUCUUAACUUCACAGUGUAGAGAGACAUACCAAGUAUUUUCCAAACCUUUUGAAGAAAGGAA